UACGUAGGGUGCAAGCGUUGUCCGGAAUUAUUGGGCGUAAAGAGCUCGUAGGCGGUUUGUUGCGUCGGCUGUGAAUCCCGAGGCUCAACCUCGGGUCUGCAGUCGAUACGAGCAAACUAGAGUGUUGCAGGGGAGACUGGAAUUCCUGGUGUAGCGGUGAAAUGCGCAGAUAUCAGGAGGAACACCGGUGGCGAAGGCGGGUCCUGC
rnacentral:rRNA from 1 species